UUUAUAUAUUUUACCGUAUAUUUAAUAUAUUUAAAUAAGAAUUUAUGAAUUUUGGAAAUAAAUAUAUAAUUAACAUAUAUUUAUUUAUUACAUAUUAAUAUUUUCAACGAUUUACGAAAUCGAAAAUGAUUUUAGAAUUUUAAGUAGAAAAGAAUUUGAAUUACGAAAAUUGAUUGAAUUUAGAAAACGAUCCUAUUCAGUUUUGGAUUCGAAUCAUAAAAGCUAAAUCCUAAUUCUAGCCCACUUGGGAAAGCCCAAUAUUAAAACCCAAAACUCAAACCCUCCCUUUACUCUAAUUCACGUAAAACAAAAAUAAAAAAAUAAACAAAGCCAAAACCCCAUUUGAACUUCACGUGAAAACGCAAAAGAGAAAAAAAAAAGAAGCAAAACCUAUCUCUCAUUCAAACUCACGUAAACUAGCAAACCCUCAAACCUUGGUACUCUCUGCCCAGCCGCCAGCCACCAUACACCCGCCGGACCUCCACCGUCCUCGUCACAGCCGCCCCAGCCGCCGACCACCUACCGCCGCCGCGACCGCCAGCUGCACGGUAACCUUCUUCUUCUCCUUCGUUCUUCUUCCUUUCUCUUUCGUUCGUUUCUUGCAGCUUCGCUACCCUUCUCACGAUCUUUUUCGCUCUUGCUCUCCUCGCUCGUUUUGGUUUUUGCGCAGCAGCAACCGAGUCGCGCCACCCUCUCCUUGCUGUCGCCGAGCAGUGCUGCCGCCUCCGGCCGCGCCUCACCGCCUGCCACCGUCGUCCUCUCUCGUCGGCGGAGAAUUCUCCUUAGGCGACUUUUGAAUUAUUAAAGUGGUCUUGCAGUUUGUUUACACAAGUCUCUAAGGAUCAAUAAGCGUUGCCCAUCUACAGGUUUGAAGAUGAUGCAUCAUUGGGAUCGGGAUUAGAGAGCUUGUAGUUAUAUUUGUUUUAUUAAGUGAUUUGGGUUGUUAACUUAUAUUUGAAAGUUGUCGUACUAUUCGUAUUUCCUUAUUUCCGUUAAUUGGUUUUGGACUUAGUAUGUAAUCGAUUAUUUAUGAACCUAAAAGUUAGUUUUAUGUUUUCCGCUGCAAAAUUCUGAAUAAGCCGUACGU